rnacentral:ncRNA from 2 species
UAUCAUCAUUUAGAAUCCCUUGAGUGGGAUAGCAACCAGCGAUAACAAGCAACGGUGCUAAAGCAAUGAGCCUUUAAAAGGAAAAAAAGUGUUAUAA